GUGGAGUAAGAGACUCAUGCCUAGAAACUGUGGUAGUGGUAGUGGAGGUGGUAGUGGUGCAAGAGUCUGUCCAGCAUUUUUGUAAUUGUGUCAGAUGAAAAGAAAGAAAACAAAGGAUAAAGUUAAAAAGGUUCCACUGACAAGUCCUUUGUCUACCUAGAAGAUACUAGAAAAGGAUUAACCUAACUAGUACUAAUUAACACCUCCAUCUUUAGUUUGAAGGAUGAAAGUGGCUCUUGAUUGGAUAAGGAAGUGAAUAUGAAGAAAGACUGCAUACAGAAGACAGUGUCUGAGGCUGGAACUGGGAGAACCUCUGCAGCCAGGUACAAAAAUGGCUGCAUAAGCUGGUUUGGAAAAGUCAGCUUCAAAACUAGAGGGAUGGAAUUUCAGUUCAUCAGCAAAACCCCUUGGAGUUAAGUCACUGCAUUUUUGAAAUACUGAAAUUUAGCAGAGGAUGAGUUUGGCAGCUGUAGAAACUUAAAAGAAAAGAACAAAAGAAUUUAUACUUCCUUGUUGUACAGACAAUUUUGCCAUCAAAGCUGCCAAGAGAUUUUUAUUCCUCUCUUCA